ACGAAGGGGGCUAGCGUUGUUCGGAAUCACUGGGCGUAAAGCGUACGUAGGCGGACCGUUAAGUCGGAGGUGAAAUCCUGGGGCUCAACCCCAGAACUGCCUUCGAUACUGGAGGUCUGGAGUCCGGAAGAGGAGAGGGGAACUGCCAGUGUAGAGGUGAAAUGCGUAGAUAUUGGGAAGAACACCAGUGGCGAAGGCGGCUCACUGGUCCGGUUCUGACGCUGAGGUGCGAAAGCGUGGGGAGCAAACGG
rnacentral:rRNA from 1 species